rnacentral:tRNA from 1 species
GGCCCCUUAGUUAAAUGGAUAUAACAGUCCCCUCCUAAGGGACGGUUGCAGGUUCGAUUCCUGCAGGGGCCGCCA